rnacentral:rRNA from 1 species
AACGAACGCUGGCGGCAUGCCUAACACAUGCAAGUCGAACGAGACCUUCGGGGCUAGUGGCGCACGGGUGCGUAACGCGUGGGAACCUGCCCUUAGGUUCGGAAUAACUCCCCGAAAGGGGUGCUAAUACCGGAUAAUGUCUUCGGACCAAAGAUUUAUCGCCUUUGGAUGGGCCCGCGUUGGAUUAGCUAGUUGGUAGGGUAAAAGCCUACCAAGGCGACGAUCCAUAGCUGGUCUGAGAGGAUGAUCAGCCACACUGGGACUGAGACGCGGCCCAGACUCCUACGGGAGGCAGCAGUGGGGAAUAGUGGACAAUGGGCGAAAGCCUGAUCCAGCAAUGCCGCGUGAGUGAUGAAGGCCUUAGGGUUGUAAAGCUCUUUUACCCGGGAUGAUAAUGACAGUACCGGGAGAAUAAGCUCCGGCUAACUCCGUG